UGGGAUCCAGGCCCAGGGACAGGGAGCAGCUGGGCUCUGAGGUGACACGGCCAUUACCCUGGGAGCUGACCCACCCCCUUGGGGCUCCAGCCCGGGGCUCUGACCACCGUGGGAUCCUGCCCUCCAGAACUGAAGAGGUGCUGGCUCUCUCCCUCCUGCCCUCGGGCUGGCCUCCUGUCCGACGCUAAUCUGUGAAGCCCUGCCCAGCCAGGCUCAGAGGACGCUCAGGGCUGGGGUGGGGCCCAGACUCCCUUAGGAGCGAGACAGGGAUGCAGUCAACACCUGGAAAGAGGCCAAAUGGACGCCUGGAGCAGCUGCUCGGAAGGUCACAAGUCAGUUCAACUGCCGGUCUCCUGCCGGGACUGUCACACAUCUGUUUUCCAUGCUACAUGUCCACCUUCGGCAGCACCCUCCCUAUACCCAACUGAGGCUGACCUGGCUCCUGGGCUCAAGUGGUUUCCACCCACAUGAACCCCCACUCUGCUGUUAUGAUCCUCUCCAUCACUAACGCACUGGAGAACCACUGGUGAGUCCUGGACCUGAGUGUGAAACAGCUCCCUGUUAAGCCAACCCCCUUGCAUGGUGAGAAGGAGACCACGUUUUAGGUAGAACCACUGAUCAAUUCUCCUACCCCGCCC